rnacentral:lncRNA from 1 species
AUGUUCUUUGAAAGAAAACUUUACUAUCAAUCUUUUCUACCCCCAGGAACAUUUCAAAUGGGCUUAAAACAUUGUUUUGGAGGUGUGACUAAUGAAGCCAAGGAUAUUAGCAAACAUCAUGAGAGCAGGAAGCUCGUAUCUGUUAGACCUUGGAGAGGAGAUCUAAGAUCUACACCUUGAUAUUAAUGGCAUUAGGUAGUUUAGCAAAUUUAUUUUAAUGGAUUAAAUGUGUAUAUGUAUCACAUAUAAAUAUGCACAAAAAUAGAAAUAUUAAAUAUUGUUUUAAUGAAAAAGAUAUAAACUGUUUAUACAGUAGAAAAGAAAACCUUUAAUUGCUAAACAAAUGUUUUCUUCUUAAACUAGCCAUAUCAUUUCUAUCCAGUGGUUCAUAAGUAUAUACUGUGAAGCUAUAUUUUUAUUUAAACUGUCCAUUAAUUAAAUAUA